UGAGCUCACAUUUCCAUUCCUUUCUCUACCUUCUUCUCCUUAUACUCUGCCACUCCCAUAUCCUUUUCCUAUUCCUGAUGUUUCCAAUCCUACCAGUCCCUCUAGUAGUCCUUCCUCUCUACCUUUUGCUUCAUCAGUGCAUCUUCUUAUGACUCCCUUGAUCCUUCCUUUACUCACACUGACACAUCUUCACCUGUUGUUCCCACUGUUCCCUCUCCUCCUCCAUUGAGAAAGAGCACUAGAAUUUCUUCUGAACCAUUAUGCUCCAAGACUUUAUUGCUAGUGUACAUUUGUUAGAUUCUGUUUCUGGUACCAAUAGUGAGUCUACUUGUUCCGAUGGUUCCAUAAGUAUUUCCAACACUUGUAUUACUCUAUCUGAUUUAAGUUUCAGUCAGAAUUACAUUGAUUUUGUUGCAUCUGUUUUUAUGAUUAAAGAACCUACUUCUUAUGCUCAAGCUAAGACAGAUCCUAAUUGGCUUCAAGCCAUGACUCAAGAGUUGAAAGCUCUGGAAGAUAACCAAACAUGGGAAUUGGUGCCUCAUCCCACUUAUAAGAAACCAAUAGCUUCCAAAUGGGUUUACAAAAUUAAACACAGGCAAGAUGGUACCAUAUAUAGGUACAAGGCCAGGUUGGUUGCAAAGGGUUUUAAUCAGCUGGAAGGCAUGGAUUACAUUAACAGCUUUUCUUCUGUGGCCAAAAUGGUUACUGCUAGGUUAUUUUUAGCACUUGCUUCUAAUAAACAUUGGCCAAUUCAUCAAUUAGACAUUAAUAAUGCUUACUUACAUGGUCUUAUUGAUGAAGAACUUUACAUGCUCCCUCCCCAAAGUUAUACUAAAGCUCAACCAAGCCAAGUAUGUAGGUUACGAAAAUCUCUCUAUGGUCUUAAACAAGCAGGCAAACAAUGGAACAAGGAGUUUACUUCUCAACAUAAAGUUUUUGGUUUUUCUCAAUCUGCUCAUGACUAUUGCUUAUUUGUGAAAUCAUCUGGUUCUCACUUUCAGGCCCUUAUUUUGUAUAUCAUCCUCAUUACCGGUGCUUGUGAGAGUGAUGUUGUUGCUACUAAAUCAUAUUUACAUCAGAAGUUCAUUAUUAAAGACCUGGGAUAUGCUAAGUUUUUCCUAGGCUUAAAAAUUGCACGAUCUCCUACUGGUCUAUUUCUCCGUCAUUAGAUAUUCUCAAAAAUACUGGUUUAAUGUCUGCUAAACCAAUUAAAGCUCCUUUACCUAGAAGACUUAAGCUUACUGCAGAAGGCGGUACUCCAUUUCUUGAGCCUGAAAAGUAUAGAAGGUAAGUUGGGAAGCUCCUCUAUUUGAAUACGACUAGACCUAACAUUACUUUUACUGUACAACAACUUAGUCAAUUUAUGCAGCUUCCAAAGCAAGCUCAUUGGGAUGCAGCUCUUCAUGUGCUUAAAUACCUUAAGGGUUGUCCACAUAAAGCUUAUUUUCUUCCCAGCUAACAACUCUUUGUCCCUUUCUACUUAUUGUGAUGCAGAUUGGGCAUUUUGCACAAACACAAGGAAGUCGGUUACUGGAUUUUAUAUUUUUCUUGGGCCCAAUGUCUGAAUAAAGGGCGAUUAAUGUUCACCAUCAAUGGUCACUCUCAAUUCAACUUGGUAAUUUAUGUUUCAUAUUUUAAAUAUCAAUUGCUCUUUGGAACGAUGAUUUCACAUUGCAAUAUGAACUUUCAGCUAAGAUAUUUACACAGUUUCUGAACAAUAAUUGCAGUAUCUCAAAGAUCUCUGCUCAGAGUGACAUGCUAUCAGCCAAAUCAAGCUCAUUCUUUAUGUUAGUUUACUGUUCAGGAAUAGGCACCGCACAUAGCACCUUUCUCCACACUGAGCUUUCCUCCGGUAACCAACCAAUGGCCUGGAGGAUCUUGUGGCCCCUUGCUCAUCUCAGACAUAUCAACAAAUUUUGCCAACUUCUUGCCCAGAGUGUUUUCUGUCGAACCUGAACUUGAGUCACCAGCGUUGGUAUUUUUUACAGAAGGGACUUUCUUUGACUUGUCAUCUGGGGCAUGAUCCCAAAGAGAUCUUCGUAUUGUGCAGCCAGGUAGUCUGGAAUACAGGAAUUUCAUGUACAGAACGUUUCUUGACCCAAAAUCCCACACUCCAAGUUGAGCUCCUGUGACUACAUAGACUCCAGAGAAAUCACCUAUAAAGCUUUCAGGAUUCUCAACUGGUGCAGUGCUUACAUGAGAGAAAUUCUUCCAUUUCACUGGCUCAAACCAUCGACUAUCCUGCUCCUCAGGUCCCUGCCACUUGGGAGCACCAAUUGAAACAUGGGUGUCCCAAUAUGGAAGAAGGAUUUUAGGAAGGGAUGCUAAGUGUUGAAUAUGAAUGCUUAGCCGAUUCUGCUUGGCUCCUUCAAGAGAUAAUCGCAUGCCUGUCACAGGUUUUUUUCCCACUGAUACCUGCAUCCAGUGAUACGCCAAAAUAACUACAGUUUUAAUAGGGCAUGCCAAUUACCUUAGUAAGAUUUCUUAGGUUAUUUAAUAUACAAAAGAUUUACUUGCAGCUAAAGAAGCACAAGUCUUUUCCUGAACAUAUAAUUUUUCAUCAGAAUGACUAAUUACAGCACAUCAUAAAGUAGUUAAACCUUAAAACAAGAAACUUAGAAUGUGCUAAAAACAGCAUCCACAAAUUUCAGAUGCUACAUCAAAUGCAAUGGAAUAAUUUGAAUUUCAUUUAGACAACCAAAUGCUCACCGAAUGACACAGAAUGAACAACCAAUCACUAAAUUUUUAUAAUAUUUCAAAUAUUAACUAUUUAUGGAAAAUUUCAUAGGCCUUGUAGCUGUUGGAGACUAGAGCAGCUCCAGGCUAAUGAAAUGAAAAACUCAAAACAAGUGGAUAAGGAUUGAAUAAAGUUUUGUUGCUUAGCUUUCCCGUACAUUCCCUUAUUUGCUUCUAAUCUGGUAGCAUUUGUCUACUGUAAGCUAAAUUUGUGAAGAAAUGGAGAGAGAGAGAGAGAGAUGCAGUUACACUCUGAUCAACACCAGGGAUAUUCAAAUGUUAUGUAUUUAGACAGGAAAACCAGGAACCUUGCAAUUCCACCAAGGAAGACUCAACUGAAUAAAUCCAGAUAAACGAGAGAGAAAAUCAGUCAAAAGAACAAUAAGCACAGCUCUUUUUAUUUUUUUGCAAAAAUGCGUUAGCUGAGAAAGGAAUUCUUUUUUUCCAUGUCCAAGCACUAAGCGAUAGAUCUUUAAUCUUGUUAUCCCAAAAUCUUGUAAAUAGUUGUUGGGAUAACAAGAUGAAAGUUCUAUGGCUUAGUGCAAGGACUAAAAGUACAAAAAAAAAAUGACACAAAAGAAGGCAUACCUGCUCCUGGCUUACAUAAAGCUUUGGCCCCAUCAUGCUGAAUUGCAAAGAUGGGCAAACAGGUUCCUUUCUUUGGUGGCCAGGAAUAUUUUCCUGCACAGGAGCCCAUAUUUGUGGAAUCUGAAACUCCAGAAAAUAUCUCAGCUCUUCAAUUGGGGGCUUGUAUUCAAGAUAUAAACCAAUUGCACGAGUCAGAUGCUCUUUUCCAGGUGCCCCAUUAAGGAGAUCUGUGAUAGGAACAAAAGUCAUGUCAAUGACAUCUGGAGAGGAUUUCACAGUUCUUUCCCAGCGGCUGUGGUUUUGCUCCAAAUCAUCGCCUCCCCUCCUCCGAAAAAUGAUUGUAACAUCUUCUUUCCCGGUAAGAUAUGGAGCACUUGUGGGUUGUGGAUAUAUCCCUUGGCUGUUAAAUAUGCUAGAAUCACCACCCUUAUCCUUGAUUUUCAUAGGACCUGAACUUGUAUGACUCUCUGUGUCAAAAAACCUCUGAUUUCCAAUAUCCUGAACAUAGUUUUUAACCUCCAUGGUUGACAAAAGGGACGACUGAUGUUGUUUAACAUAUAUCAUAUCCUUACCACCAAUAGUCACUGAAGUUAUAACAUGUGUUCCAAAAUUUUCGAUGAAGCUUGCCAAGGAUGAAGGGUCCCAAAAAUUUGGGACAGCCUGUUUAACAUUAUCCUGCAAGACUAAUGGGGAUUUCAUAAGUUGGAUCUUUGCAAGUGGAAUAUAAAAUCCAUCCAUAGAGAGGGUCUUUGUAGAUGCAGCAUCGAUAUGCUUUGAACCAGUAAAGCUAAAUGCAGAAUUGAAGCUACCAAGUGGAUAACCUCCGGAUAUAUCAGCCUUUUGAUUAAAGUACUCCACCAUCUCAUAGAAAGUCAAAACACCAGAACUCUGGCGAAUCUUAGGAUCCGAAGUCUUGUUGAUAUCUCUGGAAAUAUUGGGCAGUUCAAUAUCAUCAUACAAAAAGAGAUUUCUAGUAUGUUCCUCGUCAAUCUGGACCACUCUUGAACCCGCUACUCCUUUGCAAUAUAGCAACCUCGUAUCGAAGUUCACAUCGAACCCUCUCCCCAGAGCUUGCACGGAAUUCAUUGCCGUGUGCAAAGCCGCCGCAUUUCCAAUUGCAUUCUCCCCCAUUCUCAUCAGAAAAUCGUCUUGCGAUUUCCUUCGAUCUCCCAAAAAUCACAAUUUCCCGAUGCGAUUAUUCAGCCUCAUCAUGGACAAACUCAAUCCCAACCCCAAACCCAAACCCUCCUGCAAUUUUCCUCUUCCAUCGAAUUAUCAAUGGUUUUCCAAAUUGAAGACCCCAAGAGAUGCUAAGAUGAAACCCAUAUCCCAAAACAACAUCUUUCACAGUGGUUUU
rnacentral:misc_RNA from 1 species